ACCAGACGCUGUCAGUCAUCAGUUUCCGCAUGAUUAUUUUACCGUGCACGCAUAACUGACAGCAUCGAUGUUUUGUUUUUGUUUUUCUUCUCUGGUCAUAAGUUCUGUUCAAAUUAUAAAGUGAGAUCGCUGUCCAGAACCACCAAUAAUUAGAGCCGUUUGAAUCGCCACAUCCGCGCGAUCUAUCGUUGCACACAUUUCCACCAAUAAUUGGAGCCGUUUGAAUCGCCACAUCCGCGCGAUCUUCGUUGCACACAUUGUUUGCUGAAAAAAUGUUGUCGAGCGUUUGACUUGUCGGAUAUGAACAAACACUUGGACGAUAUUUGGAAUGCUUUGAUUUUGAAGCUGAAGCCAGGAGGUGGCAACAAGGAGGAUAUUCGAACUGGCACUGGAAGUGGGCGACAACUUUUUAACCACCAUUUGUAGGACUAUAAUGGGUAGUGUUGCGGACGUGGCUUUUAAAAUGUUUGAAAACGGUAUCAAGGUUGCACUGGCCUUUGAGAGAGGAUCGUACGAGUUAGCACAUUUUGUGGCUAAAAAGCUUCUGCCUAUUACAUUAUCCAGAUUGAAGGGGAACGCAAUCACGGAACAGGAAAAAUAUCUCGUGCUAAACCGAACGUUGUUCAUUAGCAAGGAAUCUUGAAAAAAAAAUGGAUCAGGGGCUGUGUAAGAGCAGUUUGUCCAAAUUUCAAUUUCAUCUGGAAAUAAAAUCCCGUUUGCCGACAACAAUCCUAUAAUUAUUUAAAAAAACAUCCUAGAUUUGAAGUCUGCCCUGGAGCAUUCAUUGGAAACUCCAGAAAACGAUUUGGUGAUACCCGGGAGACGGCGGAAUUUUUAGAUGGAAGAGAUGAAGUGGAAUCCAAUUAGUGCAUUCAGAGUAAUGGUCUGACAGGACGAGAAUGUUCUAAAAGAAAGACAGAAUCAGAAUGUUCUCUCGAUACCUAUGUGUUUGAGAUCUUUGGGGUGGAACAAAGAUUAUUCUGUGGAUUCUUCUGGUACCUGCAGCCAAUGCCUGCGAAGCGUGAUUGAAGAAACCCAAAAUGUCAUACAGCAUCAAGGACAAUUAUCAUGACUGGUGACCGGAAUCGAACUGGAAUCCUUUUCCUGUGAUAUGGAUACAUGCAAACCUGGUUGGUCUUGCCAACACACCGAUGCAGCUAUGCCUGGCUAUUGUAGAGCUCCAUACCCGUCGGUUUAGGGCUUUAAGGCCCCCAGAUCCGCAUGCAGCCAUCUUAUUUGUGGCCUUCCAUGAAGGCACAGGCCACUGUCCGGUUCCCGACGUAUCGACGUAUAAUAUUAUGCGUAUGCAAUAACAACCAGCAGGUUUUUGCAUCUCCUUUCUGUAAGAUAUGAAUAUUCAGCUAUUCCUCAGUUCCGCAGUGCCAAGGAAACAGUCGUCAUCCGAUGGCACGAUGGUUUCGUUUCGGUGGGAUCAUCUCUUCGCAGCGCCGAUGACUUCGCGGUUCAACGGUGGCAGCAGCCACCAUCGGAUGGCUGGUGGCAUCAACGGAAGAGCAUUGCACUCCGGCCCAAAGGAGACGUCAAUAAGGCAAAUUAGUCGCCUGCUGGAAGAAAAUUUCAAAUGAUUUCUUUUAGUUCCAUUGAUUGUUUCAACUUACAAUUGACAUUAAAAUAAAGAAUAAAUAAAUAUAAAUAAAUGAAAAAUAA